UAGGGAAUCUUCGGCAAUGGGGGCAACCCUGACCGAGCAACGCCGCGUGAGUGAAGAAGGUUUUCGGAUCGUAAAGCUCUGUUGUAAGAGAAGAACGAGUGUGAGAGUGGAAAGUUCACGCUGUGACGGUAUCUUACCAGAAAGGGACGGCUAACUACGUGCCAGCAGCCGCGGUAAUACGUAGGUCCCGAGCGUUAUCCGGAUUUAUUGGGCGUAAAGCGAGCGCAGGCGGUUAGAUAAGUCUGAAGUUAAAGGCUGUGGCUUAAUCAUAGUACGCUUUGGAAACUGUUUAACUUGAGUGCAGAAGGGGAGAGUGGAAUUCCAUGUGUAGCGGUGAAAUGCGUAGAUAUAUGGAGGAACACCGGUGGCGAAAGCGGCUCUCUGGUCUGUAACUGACGCUGAGGCUCGAAAGCGUGGGGAGCAAACAGGAUUAGAUACCCUGGUAGUCCACGCCGUAAACGAUGAGUGCUAGGUGUUGGGUCCUUUCCGGGACUCAGUGCCGCAGCUAACGCAUUAAGCACUCCGCCUGGGGAGUACGACCGCAAGGUUG
rnacentral:rRNA from 1 species